CACGCAUCAACCUCCUCUUGGCACACAGCUGCUCAUCAACUAUCACGCUGCCCUCUUGACAGAACCACGGACACUAGUGAUCAACUAUCAUAGCUAGCGCCAGAAGCUAGGUAGUGAGAAUCAAUGGCAUCCCGUCUGGAGCUGCUCAUGUCGCGGGUAUGGAGCUAUCUUACCUCCUCACCAACCGCGGCAGCAGGAACAGGAGGUGCUCUUGCCAGUUCCAGAAGCCAGCCGAAGCACCGGCCUCGUGACCUCCCUAGAAGCAGGGUGAACGCGGGGAGGCCUCACGAGGCAGAGAAAACGGGAGCCUUACAGUUCGGAGAGGAUUCUCCGACGCGCAGCCGCCUGUAAGACCCCGACAAGCUGAGCAGCUAGAAUCAAGAUCUCCGCUCCAAUCGAAUUAUGUCUUUGACGCAACAUAUGUCAUAUCAUAGUAAUGUUUUUGUAUGCUGCUCCGAUCAAAUUGAUCAUGAAAUGUGCACUUUACAAUUUUGUAUUUUGAACUUUGCGGCUUUGCAUCGUGUGUUGGUUGUCUCGUAUCAAACCUGUAUGUAACUCGUACAUGUGUUCAUCUAGCUGAGAAACAAUAAGGUCUCAUUCACCUCACGUCAUCAAAAUAUUGUUUUUACUUUGUUGCCGUUCUCGCCCCGUCAACCCGGCGGCCUGU
rnacentral:lncRNA from 1 species